CAGCAGCCACGGGAAUACGGAGGGUGCAAGCGUUAAUUGGAAUUACUGGGCGUAAAGCGCACGCAGGCGGUCUGACAAGUCAGAUGUGAAAUCCCCGGGCUUAACCUGGGAACUGCAUUUGAAACUGUCAGGCUGGAGUCUUGUAGAGGGGGGUGGAAUUCCAGGUGUAGCGGUGAAAUGCGUAGAGAUCUGGAGGAAUACCGGUGGCGAAGGCGGCCCCCUGGACAAAGACUGACGCUCAGGUGCGAAAGCGUGGGGAGCAAACAGGAUUAGAUACCCGUGUAGUCCCUGUCUCUUAUAC
rnacentral:rRNA from 1 species